rnacentral:rRNA from 1 species
GGCUCAGGAUGAACGCUAGCUACAGGCUUAACACAUGCAAGUCAGGGGCAGCAUUAUCGAAGCUUGCUUUGAUAGAUGGCGACCGGCGCACGGGUGAGUAACGCGUAUCCAACCUUCCCAUCACUCAGGGAUAGCCCGCCGAAAGGCGAAUUAAUACCUGAUGGUCUCCUUUGCGGACAUCUAACGAGGAGUAAAGAUUCAUUGGUGAUGGAUGGGGAUGCGUCUGAUUAGGUUGUUGCGGGGUAACGGCCCACCAAGCCCACGAUCAGUAGGGGUUCUGAGAGGAAGGUCCCCACAUUGGAACUGAGACACGGUCCAAACUCCUACGGGAGGCAGCAGUGAGGAAUAUUGGUCAAUGGACGGAAGUCUGAACCAGCCAAGUAGCGUGCAGGAUGACGGCCCUAUGGGUUGUAAACUGCUUUUGUGCGGGAAUAAAGUGAGGGACGUGUCCCUUUUGCAUGUACCGCACGAAUAAGGACCGGCUAAUUCCGUGCC